UGAACGUGGAACUUUGAAACCGUUACAGAGCUGGGAGAGGCUGUGGUUGUCACCAGUAUUCCCAGUGACUCUGCAGCAGCCAGGUGCUACUUGUGAUCCCACCAGCACCGAUCGUCAAACAGUUUUUGGAUAAGGAGGACAUCAUCUUGACGCUUCUAGUUCCAAUUGAGCCAACAGAGGACACAGCAGCAGGCAACAUUGUAGACACACAAGAAUGGCAGCAGGUCCAGCACAACGUUGGAACAAACAGUCUUUGGAUAAUUCUACAACGUUCCACAGCGAAAAAUGAAACUAAACAAAACAGAACAAAAAUGGUCAGAGCAAUGAAGUCCAUUAUCGUGGAUCACCUUCGUGAGGCGGAUAGUGAGCUCAAUGCCCAGGAAGAUGCACGGUUUGAGAGAUUUCUUGCGUCAGAAAAGGAAAUGCAUCAAACUUAUGACGCAGUUAAUGACCAUGCAUGAUAGUCAGAUUAAAUUUUUUGAAUGCACGUUUGCACGUACCAUAGGGAAUACCACACAAGCACAACAGCAAGACACAGCACCCAUAUGGUCCAUACAACUAUGAGCCUCCCUCAAAUCCCCCAACACAAAUCCCACAAUCCUCAGAAUAUCGGGUAUAUAGACAACUGCCUUAGAGCAGCGGGUGAUAAAACAAUGUUUGUGUUUUAAGGUUCUGUUUGCACUGUACCCUCUACCCUGUUACCUACAAAUCCAAACAUUAGGUGUUUUUUUUUUUUACAGAGUGCCCUGUUUGCACUUUACACUUUUAUAAUUUUAUAUUGUUACCUCAGAAAAUGUGCGGCAGUGGGAUCCAGAUAUUGGGGCUACCCUGAUACCUGCCAAAGCAAACAGUUUUUUUUUGUUUGUUUUUUACAGAGUGCCCUGUUUGCACUUUACUCUUUUAUAUUGUUACCUCAGGGCAGAUGUCUUCACCUUGUGGCCCUCUAGCUGUUGUGGAAAUACAUAGCAAGACAUGCUGGUACAUGUAGUUCCACAACAGCUGGAGGGACACAUGUUGAAGACCCCUUGCGUUAUGUGGAAUUUUACAGAGUGUCAUGUUUGCACUUAAAUAUUUUAUAUUGUUACCUCAGAAAAUGUGUGCCAACUGUUUAAAAG